rnacentral:rRNA from 1 species
UAGGGAAUAUUGGACAAUGGGUGAGAGCCUGAUCCAGCCAUGCCGCGUGCAGGAAGAAGGCGUUAUGCGUUGUAAACUGCUUUUUGCCAGGGGAUAAAAAGACCGUGCGCGGUUAAUUGAAGGUACCUGGUGAAUAAGCCACGGCUAACUACGUGCCAGCAGCCGCGGUAAUACGUAGGUGGCAAGCGUUGUCCGGAUUUAUUGGGUUUAAAGGGUGCGUAGGCGGCUGUAUAAGUCAGUGGUGAAAGGCUGUGGCUUAACCAUGGGAUUGCCAUUGAUACUGUACGGCUUGAAUUAGGAUGAGGUUGGCGGAAUGUGACAUGUAGCGGUGAAAUGCUUAGAUAUGUCAUGGAACAUCGAUUGCGAAGGCAGCUGACUGGACCUUAAUUGACGCUGAGGCACGAAAGCGUGGGGAGCGAACAGGAUUAGAUACCCGCGUAGUCCCUGAGCGGGCUGGCAAGGCGCAU